rnacentral:rRNA from 1 species
CCUACGGGUGGCAGCAGUGAGGAAUAUUGGUCAAUGGACGCAAGUCUGAACCAGCCAUGCCGCGUGCAGGAUGACGGCUCUAUGAGUUGUAAACUGCUUUUGUACGAGGGUAAACCCCGAUACGUGUAUCGGGUUGAAAGUAUCGUACGAAUAAGGAUCGGCUAACUCCGUGCCAGCAGCCGCGGUAAUACGGAGGAUCCGAGCGUUAUCCGGAUUUAUUGGGUUUAAAGGGUGCGUAGGCGGUUUGAUAAGUUAGAGGUGAAAUGUCGGGGCUCAACCCCGAAACUGCCUCUAAUACUGUUGGACUAGAGAAUAGUUGCGGUAGGCGGAAUGUAUGGUGUAGCGGUGAAAGGCUUAGAGAUCAUACAGAACACCGAUUGCGAAGGCAGCUUACCAAACUAUAUCUGACGUUGAGGCACGAAAGCGUGGGUAGCAAACAGGAUUAGAUACCCUUGUAGUC